UGCCCUGUCGUCAGAAUUUCGUACGGUCACUUUUUUCUAAAAAGUCGUUUUAAUGACUGGUAGUAUAUUGGAGAGUUUCAACCCCCCUUUUUCAAAAUGAAAAAAAUGGGUAUGUUUGCUUACAUUUAAUUGAAAUAGUUUUUCCUGAAGCUAUUUUUACAUGUCAAAAUAUGCUAUUCAGUAUUUUAUUUUCUUCUAAUCUAUAAAAUUUGUGAAGUUCAGACUAUUUAAAAUUGAGGUAAUUUUAAUUGCAAAUUCAGACUCAAACUUUAGUUUCUUCUUCAUAGUAGUAAUAAAAAUUAUCCCAUAAUAUUUUAAGCAUAUAGUAUUUAAUAAAACUAAUAAGUGAUAAAAAUUUCGGAACCAAAAUAUGAAAAAAACCUUAAGAAAUCAAUGGAAAAAGAAUGGAGUAAAAAUCUUCAAUUUCAACACGGAACUCAAUCACUUGCCUUCCGUCACAUUUUGUGUAUUAGUCAAUAAUUUGCUCUCAAAUGAUAUAUGAAAUUACUACCUUUUUCGCUAUUAUAUACACAUAUUUUCAAUUAAAGUGCACUGAUAUAUGCCACAUACUUUGUUUGUAUAUGUUUAUAUUCUAUGUUUUUUCGUUAUAAAACAUCAAAUAUACUUUGUCAGAAAAGUCUUAUUGUAAAAUCAAAAUAAUUGACGGAUAGUUUCAGUAAAUAUUCCGUGAUAUGUCAAGUCCUUUGCAACUUGCUCGAUUAAGUCCAAAGAACAGACAAAAGUCGUUAAAUUUUAUGCAGUGAAUAAAAAAUAUGCUAAAAAAACCUCGAUUGAAAUUUUAAGUCAAUUUACCAGUUUAGGGAAGUCGACUUUUGUAUCUGCAUUGCAUAAAAGAUUGGAUGAGGGGAACAUCAAGAUGUUUCAUGCGAUAGCUGUUAAUUUGAAGAACUCCGUGCAGGAAGUUUGACGACAUACAAUUAUCUGACUGUUGUCCCUCAGUUUCGGGUAUUCAGUGUACACGUUCUAGAAUGCAGUCGUUCAUCUGGAGCGCUUGUAUAUUUUGUUGCAACAAAACAUUUUAGAAAGAUAAUAAAAAAUUACUCAAGUUUGAAUCAGAUGAGCGCAUUAAAAAUGUUUUAUCCGUGUCAGAUAAAGUUAAAGUUGAAAUAGUUUCCCGUCCAUCUUUUAAACUUCAAGCACUCUGUCAUUUUGGUUGCAUUACAAAAUAUUUGCUAAAAACGAAAAAAAAUAAAUCCAAACCCGUGGAAGCAGAUAUUUCAGAACACGAUACUGCUUUUACUAAUUCUAUUUUGGCUAUUGACAACGAUUUAAUGGUCAUUCCUCAUGGCACCGUUACUUGAUAAAUAUAGAUCAUUUCUUCAGGCUGAUUCUAAUUUAAAAUAUUCUACAUGUAAAAUGCAGUCUAAACUCAUUUAUUUCUAUAGAAAUUCAGUUGUCAAACAACUUCAACAAGUUCAAGGCAAAUAUAACAUAUUAUUUAGUAGCAAAUUAACUAUUUUAGAUGCCAUAUAAGCUUCUAGUCAAUUGAAAACUGACCUCAAAAUCUCAAUGUCAACUGUAAUAGACACAAAUAACGGACAGAUAUUUAAUUCCGCUGCAAGUUUACUUAGAAAAGACAUCGAAACUCUAAAGAAGACUACCCAACUUUGGAUGAAUUGUUUCUUCCUUCUUAAUUCAGUCAAUGCCUUCGUAUUUAUUGCAAUUCAUUCUAUGGUUACUCAAUGAAACUGCAUACAGCCAAGACUAUUCUCAGGAAAUGGCACCAGAGAAAUUGUGGAAAUGCUAAGCAAUUGUUGAGGCAAUCUUUUUUAUUUUACUCCUUUUCAUUUAGGAUUGGCUUUACAAAUGUACCGUGAGUUUGGUUCAAAACACCUUGUUGAAACAUUGAAUGCCAAUGGAUUUUAUGCUUCUUAAAAUAAAGUGCGACGCUAUCUAAUGUGUUGCCAACCAUGAAAUUGAGCGAAUUCAAGAUAGUGUGUACUUCUCGUAUGAUGUUUCCCCAGCAUCUUUGCAGACAAGCAUAUGGAUGUCAUCACACCUUCCUAAACCCCCUUAUAGAUCUCUGUUAAAUCUUGGAUGAAUUGAUAGGGAUGGUUUGAAGCUGGUAAUUUUUUAGGAACAAAUGUCUUCGGACUUCCUACAAUACCUUGUCUGUACUUGUAAAGAAAAACUCAAAAUAACGUGUUUGCUUUGAGCAGAACCUUUCAUGUGCAGACCUGUGGCCAUGAGUGAAAUGUGUAGAAAUAUUAAAACAUGUCAAAAUGUUAGAAAUUAUUAUAAAUUAAGGAAUGUAUCUCCCUCAUGCAAAGCUCUGAUUCAUUUCACGGAUUUGGCUAUACUUUUUGGAACUUUUGGAUUAUAGCUCUUCAUCUUUAAUAUAAGCUUUGGAUUUCACAUAUUUUGGCCACGAGCAUCACUGAAGAGACAUGUAUUGUCGAAAUGCGCAUCUGGUGCAGAAAAAAUGGUACCGUUAUUGUUAUUGUGACAGUUGAUGAAAAUGAACAUGAUGGAGAUAAGGGUUGAUUUGGUAUAAAGCUUGUUGCACUGGUACACACGAAUCCAGUCCCGAGGUUAGGGGAUUGUUGGCGUGCCCUUAAAAAAGUUAAACCCCGCCACUAUCUGUAUGUGUCAGUUUUAAGUUACGAGACGGUAAUGCAGUGUUUGUCGUUUGUUUCUAUAUACUAUAUUGGUUUCUUUAUUAUUUAUUUUGUACAUUAAUCAGGCCGUUAGAUUUUUUGUUUGUUUUACAUUAUUCGUUUCGGGAAUUGAAGACUUUGCAGUAUGACUUUUACUCAUUGUUGAAACCCGUACGGGACCUAUAAUUGUUUUAUGUCUCAUUUGGUCUCAUUUGGAGAGUUGUCUCAUUUGCAAUCAUAUCACAUCUUCUUUUUUUAUAUGGAAUACUUUUGAAGUCUGUGGUACGUUGCAAGGGAAAAAAGGGGGGAUAUAGUUACAAAACCUAUAAUGUAAUAGAUAUUAACCAGAGUUAAAUACACAACAAAAGAUAAUACUAUGGUAGCAGUAAUAAUUGUGAAAAAAAAAAACAAAAAGCAACGAGUAGUCUAUAAAAAAACCUGAAGUAUCCGCAAAUUCAAUUUGAGGUCAUAUUUGACUGUAGUGUUCUAUGGCUUUGGUUUGAUACCUCACCCAAUAUGAUAGUUUAAAAAAUAAUUUUAAAGUAUUGUCCUGCAUGACACUUGAUUUUUACCUGAAAUUGAUAUUUUUCAUAAGGUUUAGGUGCUCUUAACAUUUUAUAGGUUGAAAACUUGAUUUUUGAAGUUUUGUUUAUAUAACGUCGUUUUAGGAUUUUUUUUGAUAAAAAAAUCUCAAUGAUUAAGGUUUAUGUAUAAUAACAAACAUUACUAAAGCCAAAACAGUAUCAUUUGUAUUUAGGUAGAGUUUAGAAAUAGAAAAAAAUGUCAAAAUUGAAACCCACCCAAAUUUUCACAAAUUUUUACAUAUGACCUUUGACCUCAAUUUAAAAAAAAUGUGACCAUAUCAAGUCCUGACGACAGGCAUAUUAUUAUAGUACACGAUUUCCUCUUUCCAAUGAUAUAUUAUGUAGGUGUGUGUUCGGUGGGGAGAUUAAAUUCCAAAAAAUCUGCCUUCAGUUACCGCACUAAA
rnacentral:lncRNA from 1 species